CAUAGGUUUAAUAUUUUCAUCACAAGUAUAACUUAUUAUUAUAGAACAAGAAAUUAAAAUAUUAAAAAGUAAGUUACAAGUUAAUUUUGUUAUAACAACUGUUGUCUUACUUGUAUAAUGAGCUAACCAAGACAAACUGGUAUGUCGAUGGAAAAUUCAGGUUCAAGCAGACUUUAAGUACUUCGUUGUUGUGAGGUUCAAUGCGAAAACAGCUAACAAAACAGUCUAUCAUUAGGUCGAUGUCUUGGGCAACGUAGCUUUGACCACGAGAGAAUAGCUUUCCUGGACUAAAAAGUAGUGCCAUUAAAUCAUUCAUUACAUGUUGAACAAGCGUGAAGAUGACGUUGUUCGAAUCUAGAUUGUUUAUGUAUGUUGAUGCUUUACAAAGUUUAAUACAGGUGACUGCUGCAGCUUCUACUAGUUGUCUGCUAGAGCUACCAUGCAUUCCUAGACCUCGUUUAACACUGUCAAUGAAUUGUUUUUUCUUUAGAUGCUUUGCCGAACAAGGGGAACCAGAAUCAGCAUUAACUAUUUCUUCCAAGACUUUUGGUGAAAGUAUCAGGAGCAUAAUUUGUAAAGGCCAAACAGCUGCAGUUCUUCCUUUUUUAUUGUCUGCAAAUGUGUCAAGAAUGUCAAAUAGUUCUUCACAAGCUUUUCCAAGCUCCUCGUUAGGCUUUUUUUGGAUAUCAGUAAAUUCAUGUGGUUGACAGGGUGGAGAGGAAAGGGAGAAGGGGCGAAGGUCAAACCGUGGACUCCAAGGCGUGUAGAGGGAGGAGACCGCGAGAAGCAUCUUCCCAUGAAUGAACGAAUCAAUCAACGAACAAACGAAGGACGGUACAUGCAUUCAUGAGGACAACGAUACCAACUAUUAAUGACACCGCGCCAGCAAACGAGAAGAUAAUGAAACGACUGCAUUAAAACGACAAUUCUGAUACGAAAUUUACAACAAAAAGAACGAAACCGUCACGGUUAAAUGGUCGCAUUCAUGAAUUAUACGCGUAAACUUCCCUUCAUUGAUGAAGUCCAAAAAUGACCAGCUAAACGGCGAAAACAAAGGAAACACCGAGCAGAACUGAAACGGAUUAAACGUAACAUGCAGCUUUUAUUCCGAAUUCUAUCUAAUCAAUUGUUGCCAUGGGUUCGUCGAAAUAUAUCCGAUACUCCGUGGAAAUUCGCCUCGACGUAUGUUCCUCUCUCGUUCUUCAACAUCUCACUGUUCACCAAUAUCCACUUAUUAAUAGAAACUCUGUUUUACACUUAUCCCGUAGUGCACGAUGUCAAUCGCACGGGGCCGUGUGUUCCCGUGGAACAUCGUGUGUCCAAGCAAAAUGAAAACGACCGUUGCCGGUCUCUUUCCGAUCGUGCACAGAACACAGGGGCCAAAUACAAAGUAUCCAUUUUUCAUUUUCUUUCAGACACGAUUACAGAGAGCCCGUGGAACGAAACGCGAAAGAAACUCGGUGUACUGGUAGGUAAUAACAAGAGGGAAGCAUGGUUGAGCCAGGAUACGAUAGUAGGUGAAGGUGUAGGAGGAGACAAAAGAAAGGACCAAGAAAUGUGUGCGUUUAGGUGCGAGGAAUACAGGAGCGAAAAGAGAGACAGAGAGAGACACGGAGCGAGAGAAAGCACCGGAAGAGGGUAGGUAAGAAAGAGAGAGGGGAACGGGCAACGAAAGAGGGAAAGGCGGAUAGAACGGGUGGAAAGAAAGCUAAACAGAUUUUGUAGAUCGAGUCGCAGCUGUGGUGUGUGUACCUGUUCCUCGAAACGUGUGAUCAGCAAAUUCGCCCAUUCUUUCGGCUUUUGCGUGCCCAUCGCCGUCCGAGGUUCAGUGACGAGCCGUCAUCACGUACGACGAUUCACCAAUUCGCUGCGAACAUUCGACAUCGGUAUGUCGCCAUUUACGAACGUCGACUGCCAGCCGAGAGAGCGCCGCGACCGCUCGCUCUUUCUCUCCCGUUGGGGAGGGGCGCCCGUCACAGAGCCCUCAAGAAUUACAGCGGGGCCUGGGACGAAGAUCCUCGUAGACGGAACCGAUACCGACCGAAGCUACCCGAUACCCAGCUUUUCCACCGGCCAACCCUGUGUCGUGUUCAGGGGUGUAGGGAUGUGCAUUCGAAUAGUGCGGUAGACCAGACGAGAUUUGAGGGAUUCUUUGGAAAUGUUGGGAAAAUUCGAAUAUUGUAGUGGACUGGAAGAGAUUUGGGGGUAUGUGGAGCCUCAUCGAUAAGAAUGAUGUCUGCAAAGGAAUUUUGUAAGUUAAUGACGUUUAUUGUUUAGGAUUCUUUGGAAAUGUUGGGAAAAUUCGAAUACUGUGGUAGACUGUAAGAAAUUUGGGGGUAUGUGGAGCUUGGUCGGUAAGAAUGAUGUUUACAAAGGAAUUGUGUAAUUAAUGAAAUUUAUCAUUUGCCAUGCUUUGGAAAUGUAGGGAAAAUUUGAAUAUCACGAUAGUGUUAAUGUAUCAUUUAUAUUUUUUUGAAAUUGCAGAGAACAAUUCAAAUAAAGUCGCGGAUUAUAAGAGUAGUCAGAAAUGUAGAGAAAUGAAGGAACUUCGUGGAUAAAAAUGAUGUUUGUAAAAUUUUGCAAUUUAAUGUUAUGUUGGACUUAUCAUUCGUUAAAAAUAUGUGAAAAGAUAUUGGUACCAUUAAGGAUUGUAAAAAACAAUAUGCUUAUACAUCUUAAAAGAUGAUAAAAGUUAGUUUCACUGAUAACAAUAAUUAUCGUGAAAAAGUUUUGCAAUUUAACGUAAUGUAAUAUUAAAUUUAUUUACAUGAGCUUUUAGCAAAGUACUUAAUUUAUCAGUUUCAACGUUAAGAACUUAUAGGCAACAAAAAUCAUAAGUUAAUGACUCAAUGUAUAUUUUAUACUUGAGUAAGAAACCAAAGUCAAUAAUAAAAAUGAAUGGAAACAGGAUGUAUUUUUUGAAGUAUCUUUCAUGAAUGUGGUAAGAAAGUAGCACAAUGUAGUUUAAAACAGAGAAUUUACUGAAUUUCAUUAAAUUACAGUGAAUCACAAUAUUACAUUAGUAAUGUUAUUACAUAAUACAGUAUAUGUCUUUCUUAAUUGUAUCAGCUUUGUUGAAGCUAAUAUAAGUUAAGAAAAUAUUAAUGAAGAUAAUGAAAUUUUAAUUUUGUUUACGCAUCUUCACA